CCCGAUGGAGGGAAAUGGAGGCAGACCCACCCUGCAGGUCAUCACUAGGAAGGAGAAGUGGCUCAUGUCCUGGAGACGAAUACUCCCCUGGAGGUGGUGUGAAGGGGAGAUGGCUGCUUUCUCCUGGGAAGGGAGCAGAUGCCUGGCCCAGGACCAAAUCAAAAGCUGAGGCUCACUGCCCCCAGUGGGCAGUGGGUCCGGGGGUUUCUGAGGCCAGGGCAUGGCCCAGUCUUGCUGCCCCCAGGAUGGCACCUGGCUUGGAGGCGUGAGGGGCCCUGUUAGUCUGACUUUGAAGAAGACCAGCCUUCCAGACUCACUUGGUGCCCUGCCAGAAGCCCUGGGCUCCCCCAGUGUUGCCUGUAUCUGACUUUGCCUCAGUGAAAACCACCUUGAAUUCUUUCUUGCACCGAUGGGCAGAUGGGCAGUGUCAGAGGAUCGUGUCGUCUGCCCUGUUGCGCUGGUUGGCUUGGUCAAAUCAGUGUUCAAACUAUCUCCUGCCCUUUCAAGAGGAUCUGGGGCUCUAGAAGAUUAGAGGACUUUGAGAGGUUAGUGACUUGCCCAAGAUCGGCUAGGAAGCAAGACCCAGGAUUCCAACUCAGGCCUGUUGUGAGAAUCAAACGAGAUAAUGUAUGCUGAGGCAUGCUGUGAACACUGCGUGCUGGGUACAGGAGGUACAAUAUUAAUGAUCCCUGCUGCUUGGAGGGAACUUGCACUUAAAAUGUUAUGCUUUUCAUUUUCACACCACUUAGGAGGGAGGAAAGGCUGGUGGGAUGAUCGCCACCUGAGGCUCAGGAAGGGGACAGGUUUUCCCCAAGGCCCCACAGUAUGAAAAAGGCAGGAGCAGGGCGCCACACUGGUGGUCUUCCCACGACUCUCUCAUGAAAGUCCCCCAACGGACAGAUUGAUGUGUAUAUGACAUUAUAUACGUAUACCAUAACGCUAUAUAAUAUAUAGAAUUAUUUUCAGGUCCCUGAGUUGCUCCGAGGCCAGUUGUGGCAGAUGGUGCACACCCAGGACAGGCUUCGGGGAUAGGAAGGAAACUGGCUGUGUAUCAUUGCGAAGGCCCGUAGUGAAGCCUCUUUUGGUUUCUUGGAAUCAAGUUUGAACAUCAAGAAUCUCACGCAUAGACUUCUCCAAGGGCAGUCCGAUUUCACAAAAUGAAUUUUCAUUUUCCAAAGCGCAUCCCUUAGUUGGAUUUCUGUUUUUCAGGGUAGUUGUUUAAGCUCUGAUGCCGUGUCCAAAAAAGAACAGACCCCCAACGAUUCCCUGCCCGAGUCCCAACCCUUGACUUGAUUUGAGCAUUGAGCUAAUUCAUUUCUUUGAUCAAACUGGGGACUGUUUAACCAGUCAGGUGGGCGUCAUGGGACGGGGAAAGGGCGGGGUGUGCGCAGGUGUGCAAGGCAGGCUACUUGAGGGAUGGGCGAUAGUUCAGGUCACCCUCCGGUUGGACCCACGAGGGCGCUGCGUUCCUCGUUCUACAAAUCGUACAAGUCGGGGCACAAGACAGAGAAGCCAGGUCACGUCUCUGCAGUUACACAGCUCACGAGUGCCUGCUGGGGUGGAACCUGGUCUGUCUGUCUGUCUAACACCAGAGCUCGGGCGCUGCUGCAGAGGGAGCCAAGAUUUGGGUGAGGGAGGGGCUCAGACGUGGGGUGGAGGGUUUUGUUUGUUUGUUUUUUUAACCUGGUUGCCAUUGGCGUGAAAAUAAUAACAUUACUUUGCUUGGGGACUAGUGCUGCGACUAUCUUGCUGAUGGGGAAACAGGCACAGAGACGUUAGCUCGUUUUCCUGAUGUCACCCAGCUAGUCUGGCGUUGAGGCUGGAUUUGGGAGGUGGGGACUGAGGUGUGAGCAUAUGUGCUGUACCCGUUGGGCCCACUGACUCAUGAAGUGAGCACAGGUGCAGAUGGCUCAGCGAUCUGGGUUUGAGGGCUUUUACCAACCCCCCAGCCGUGAGUGUGCUCUGAACUCAAGCUUGUAUAUUUCACACUCUCCCUUGACCCUUCUUUUUAGCCUUCUCUGAAAACUCCUGCAAGCCACUGAUCCAUGGAAAAUAUUUAAGAAUACAUAUAUUACAUAUAUGUUGUAAAUUUACAUAUAUAUAUAUCUGGAAAGGGAUUGUAUCCAGAAUAUUUGGGAGUGGUUGUUUAAGGUAGAGGGAGGCGGGGGCAUGAGAGGGGGAGGGAUGGAGGUGGGGACCACCAGUGUUAAUUGUCAUGGGUGGUUUUAACAACCGAUACAAUAAGAGAGAGGCAUGCCAGCGGGAAGGAUGGGAGUGGGUUGUAAACCAGGGAUGGUGAUUAAUUCUCCACAACUGAGGGGCAUUAAAAAAAGAGAUCAGAGCAGUUUGUGGCUAUUAAUUUUGUUGUUAAAAAUAAUCAAGGAAUAAAGAAAUAAGGUAAUAAAGACCUCGAAUGGAAUAAUUUUGAGAAUGUGUUCUAGGCAAAGGAUUAUGACUAAUCCAGGUCUGGUAACCUGAUAUUAACAAACAAAAAAGGCGUCGAAGGCUAUUUUAUUUUUUUUAACCAGCUUUAUUUUCCAUAGAAUGGGCACACUGGGGUUUCUCUGCCAGAGAAGGUGAGUGCAGACAAAUAAAAGCCGGCUUCAUGGGUGUUGACUGAACAGUUAAAAAUGAAUGAAUGUGCAAAUAAAACUAGAGACAGCCAAGCAUGUACCAAUGAUGGCAACGUGUUCCUCACUCCCCAGCUUCAUAAAUAUAUCAUUGACAAAUAAAUAUUAUAUGUAUUUGUAUUGUAUGUAUUUAAGUUGUACAGUGUGACAUUUUGAUAUACAUAUAUAUUGUGAAAUGAUUACCAUAAUCAAGCAAAUUAACAUAUCCGUCAUCUCAUAUAGUUCCCUUUUUCUGUGUGUGCAGUGAGAACACGUAAGGUCUACUCUUUUAGCAAAUUUCAAGCAUGUGGUACAUUAUUAUUAACUGUAGUCACCGUACUCUGCAUUGGGUCACCAGAACUUACUCCGAACUGAAAGUUUGCAUUCUCUAAGAUCUCCAGAUUCCUCUCACUCCUGACCUCUAGUAACCACCUUUCUAGUCUCUGUUUCUGUGAGGUUAUUCCAAAACAAAAGCCAGGUUCUAGGCUGUUGAGGUUGACAGUAGGCAGUAUAUCAACAGGUAUACAGAAUAAUCACUGGUCUUGGGCUAAAUGGUGACUUCAAGUCUGGUGGCUGCAUAGUUAAAAAUGAAUUCAAUGAGUACAAAAGUGAUGAAAUGAAAGAAUGUCAAGAAUGGACCACAAAGACAAUGUUUUAUGACCUAAAGAUUAAGAUUCAUCCACUUAUGUACAAUUAUGGACUAUUUAAAAUAAAACAAGACUUUUAUGUUAGUGGAUAAGAAGUAUUUGGAUGUACUAAUCAAUAUUUUUGUUCUGGAUCAGUGGUGGGUUCAUCUGUGUUUACUGUGUUUAAAAAAAUAAGUGAAAAGAUUGAAAAGGGUGAGCAGGAGUCAAAUAUGAUUGUUACUCCAAGUCUGCAUCAUCUACGUCUGUUAGGAAGAAUAUCUGAGUUGGCUCCUUCUUGGGUAAGAUGCGUAGGGACCGAUGUUUGUGAUAGUCAUGAUUCUUGUUUUUGAUUAGAGUGGUGAAUUAAUACAUACUCGUUGUAAUAAUACAAAUUAAUAAAUGAAUAAUUGAAUACAAGGAGAGCUGUGAUUGGGCCAGUGGUGAGACUGUCAUGAACUAAAGAUUAUGAUUAAUACUGUGCUUCUCACCUGAUGGCCAUUAAAAAUAUCUAGUUUUUUUCAUCCUUUUUAGUAUCUGCCUUGUGUUCCACAGAAUGGAGGCUCCAGAGUGACAUUAAUGACAUGUUGUCGAUGAAGAUCUUGAUUGUGACCUCUGUGGAAAAUAAGCCAUGAACCAACCAAGGAUAAGUCUACUUUUCUUCCACGUAGCAACCACAGGAUAGAUGACAUUCAUUUUCUAAGAAACAAAAUCUUGGCAGUUAGAUCCGUGGGGUAAAGAAUAUAGAUACUAAUAAUGAAAACCAUGUAGCUGGUUUUAUUAUUCUCUAAUCAUGAAGACCAUUAUUGUUAUUUGGUGGACUAAGGAACAGAAUGACUGAUAGUGGACAUAGGCUAGCUGAUUUAAUAAUUUAAGAAAGAGUUGUUAUCCUGAGUAAGGAGCAUAGAGACAAAUAUAAAAUGAACGCACUCUACCUGAUUUAAUUAUAAUCUUCUAGUGAAGAUCUUGCCUUUAUCUCUGUGAAUCAGCAGAGAAGAGAUCAAUAAAGACUAGAUGAGAUUGGAUUUGGUCAUUUCUCCAAGGUGAAGAGCAUGACGAUUUCUUCUGUGGUAAGAAGCAAUAAUGAAGACCAUGGCUGAUUUAAUCAGUCUCUGCUGAUGAAGAUCUUGGCUGUUACCUUUACGGAAUGGAUGCGCAAUGAUUCAAUUAUUCUCCAGCGAGGAAGAUCAUGGUUGUUGUCUGUUUGAGUAAUGAGUGUAGAAACCUAUAAUGGAGGCAUGAUGGCUGAUCCAAUCAUUUUCCACUGAUGAAGGUUUUGGUGGCUACCCAUAAUGAACAGCCCCAUCUGAUUUAAGCACUGUGCUAUGACCAUGAACGGUAUGGUUACCUCUAUGUGUCACAGGAAGACUCUUAAUGGAUGCACUGAGCUGACUUAAGCAUUCUUCUAUGAUCAAGAUUAAAUGUCCUUCUUAGGAAAGAGACCAAUAAACGAAUGAAGAAAAGGGACCCAAACAUGGACCAAUGAUGACUACUGAUGGCGUUUGAGUCAUGGACGAUGAAUACUGUGUGUCUGAAACUCUGAGGUCCAACAGAAAACAUAAUUGGAAUGGAUGCACUUGAGCUGACCUAAGCAUUCAUGGUCAUGAGAUUCAUGGUUGCUACUGUUGGUUAGGAGCAUAGAGAUCAGUAAUGGACACAUCUGGGCUGGCAGAACAUCUGGCCUUGAUCUGGAGCCCCAUGUCUUCCCUCUGUAGAGGUGCACAUGAGCCAGUUUUUCAGAAUGGAUGCAGUGAGCUGAUCAUUUCUCUGUGAUCAAGGCUGUGUUGCCUCUGUGUUAGGCCAAUGUGAGUAAUGGUUCCUGUCUUGGUUUAGGUUGUUUAAUAGUAUUCCUGGUGUUAUUAAAAAUUAUUUAAUAUAAUAAAAAGUUAACUGGUUCAAUGACAACGUGCGACAUUGAGGUUAAUUAAUCAAAGAGAUAUAGUCUCUGUGGGAAAUGAUCCUGUAGACAAAUGUAAGGAUUCUUCAAAUAUCUUGUUCUUGGGUUUUUGAAAUCCUGUAUUCAUUUUAUUAUCAAAGAACAAAUGAUUUAUUCAAUAAAUAUUUAGAAAUGAAUGAUGAAAGAGAGACCCAGCUAUGGAUCAAUGUUGACAACUGGUGGCAUAAAAGUCAUGGAUGAUGAAUAUGAGAAGAAAAUAAUCUAGGUUUUUGCUUCUGUUGGAAAUGAUCCUGUAGACAAUGUCAGAAACAUACAAAGAUCAUUUUCUUAUCUUGGGGUCAUAGAUUUAGGUUUAUUAUUACUAAUAUAUGACUGAUAGAACCAUUAAAUAAAUAUAAACAGAUAAAAAUACAAGUAGAGGUUAACUUCUUGGACCUCAGAGUUCCAGACAUAUAUUGAUCAUCUAUGACAUGAAUGAUGCGAUUCCAUAGAUAGAUGUUAGGGAUAUAAGAAUCUCUUUGAGAUUUUUUGAUUCACAGAUAAUUAUUUUAUUAUGUUUGAUGAAUUGAGAAUUAAUCAAUAAGCAAAUAUAAAGUAGUAUGAGGAAAAAGACAUGUAAACUUGAACCAAUGAUUGAUGGUUUAGAAGUCGUGGGUGAUGAAUAAUAUGUGUCUGGAACCUAAAGGUUUGCAGAAAACAAAAUCUGAUCUAUUUCUCAGGGUCAUUUGCAAACGGCGAUCAAUGUUUGAAAUGAUAGAUUGAUGUUAAGAAUAUGUAAGAAUCUACUUCUUUUAUUUUGGAUUCAUGGAUUUACAUAUUAUUAUUAUUUAAAAUUGAUCCAUGAUGAAAGUAUUAAAUAUAUAAUUUGACAAAUACGAAGAUGGUGUGAUGGACUUCAACCAUGUGAUGAUUCAAGAUAUACUAUCAACAUAAAAUGAAACACUAGCUCCCAGUGUGGUGAAAUCCUGUCUCUACUAAAAAUCCAAAAAAAUUAGCCGGACGUGGUGGUGCACGCCUGUAAUCCCAGCUACUCGGGAGGCUGAGGCAGGAGAAUCACUUGAACUCAGGAGGUGGAGGUUGCAGUGAGCCAAGAUUGCACCAUUGCACUCCAGCCUGGGCAAGAAGAGCAAAACUCCAUCUCAGAACGAAAUGGACCCAAGGGUGUUACCUCUUUUUGAUUAGUGAUCAUAUAGAUGCUGGGAAGUAGGAGUCAAUUUUAUUGCUUGAAUCAGUCCAUUUGAGGUUGUUUGUUUUGUUCAGAAUGAACAUAUAUGUUAUGAAAAGUUAAUAAAUAACUAAACUAUGGUUUGGAAUAAAAUAUGGAAAGCAAAAUUGACAAAGAGGUAUUAGUUUUGAAAAUCAGCUGCUUUGCUUUGUACUUCUUAGACGGGAUGCACUGGCGCUGAUUUAAGAGUUCUCUUAGUCAAAAGACAUAUGGUUGCCUCUGUGUAGGUUCCUGGAGACCAAUGUGAGUAUGAGUCAAUAUUCUUGUCUUGGUUUGAGUGUUUUUUUAAGAGCUAUCACUGUGUUAUUAUACACUUUGACAUAUAAUCAGUUAAUAUCUUAAGAAUGGAAUUGGUGUAAUGCAUUAUGUUGAUUAAUCUGUAUGUGAAACACUGUGUUAAAUUAAUAAAAUAUAUCUAGUGUCUAUGGGAAAUAAUUUGUAGACAGAUAUUAGAUAUUCAAGAAUCUUGCUCUUGAGUUCUUCUGACUCUUUGGUAUUUACUUAUUUUUAUUAGUGAGUUGAUGAAUUCAUCUGUCAAUAAAUGAAGACAUGAAUGAAGAAAAAGAGCUCCAAGUCUGGACCAAAGAUGAAGUUUGGUGAUGUAUGAAUCAUGAACAAUAAAUACCUGUGUCUGGAACUUUGAGGUCCAACAUGAAAACUAGUUUGCUCCCUAUGAUGUAACUGAUGUAUAUAUAUAAGAAAUAGCAAAGAUCUGGUUGUGUUUCAUAGCUAUCGAUUAUAUCUUCAUAAGUUGGUUAGUGUGCAAAUAACCAAAGAAAUGUAUGAAUACAUGAAGAAAAUGGAACCAAGUAUAGACUAAGUAUGUCCCCUAUAAAGUUGCUCUGAUUUAGAAACAAAUUUUUGGAUUUUACUAGUUUUAUUAAGAUCGGCUAGGCAUUUCUGUUCUAGAUUUCUGAAAAUGAAAAUAUUACUCAUUUUCUUGAAAAAGAAUAGAUGGUUGGAAAAAUUAAUUCAUUUGUUCCUGAAUUAUAAACUCAUUUAUACUAAUAAUGAAUGAGUUAAUAGAUAAAAAGGUCAAGAACUGACCACUCAUGAGAAUGUGUUAUAAAGCCAGGAAUGAGAAGAAGCUGAUUCUGUAAGUCGAAGCUAACUUGCAGAGAAUACCAAGACGAUUAUAUGUGUGAGUGGAGGCACUGAGGCCAAUAUGUCCCAUAGUCAGAUGUUUUUCUUAAUGCAGGUGAUGGAUUCAAGAAUGUUCACUAUUUGAUGUAAAAUUAAUAACUGAAAUAAUUCAAUAAAUAAAAGGAGAGUGAAUCUAAUUUAAGGAUAGGGAGUGUCAUGAACCAAUGUUUGAGAUGAACCUAACCCUUAUCAUUUCAUAUUUAUUCAGACACAGCCUGAAUCUUGUUGUUUCAUACCUUUAACAUUUACUUUGUACUUCUCAGGGUUGAUGUUCAUGGGUGAUUGAUCAUCCUGUAGCGACGGUGGUAUUGACUGUUCCACAGCGGACAAGGAGUGCGUUCUUAUAUAAGUCAUAGUUGACAUUCUUGUUUUUGAUUGGGUAGUUUGCCUGUUCAUUGAUAUUCAUAGUACUAUAGAAGGUAGAUAAAUGGCCACAUACCUAAAUAAAAUCAAAGGAGACAAAAGGUGAGAAUCUGUUAUAAACUAAGGAUUAUAAUUAAUCUAAUUCAGUACAACUGUGGAAAAUUUUGAAAAGAUAAAGAUUGAUGUCAUUUUAGUCAUUUUAUGGAUAAACUAAAAAUGGGACAUUUUUGAUAUCCCAUUUUAGCAUUUUUCAUAGUUUACACAAACGUUCCUAUAUUGCUAGAUAGCCUAGUCUGUUAACCCCCUGAGGAAGAGCAUAUAUGAAGUAAAUACUUGUCAUUAUCAUAGUAGGGUCUAUGGAUUAGACCCAUAGUGGAUUAUUCUUCCGGUUUAUUGUUACAUCUUCAUAGAAUAUAUAAUUUAAACAAAAAGGUUCAAGCAUGGACCAAUGACAUAACUGAAAUCAAAUCUGGACAAAUGUAUAUAAUUAUUAUAUUUCACAACAUUUUUAUAGUUAAUUACAAAAAAAGACCUAGUCUAUUACAUUGUUUAUUACCUCUCUUGGAAAUGAACCCACUGACAGAUAUGAAGACUAUUCAAGAAACUUGUUUAGGGGCUUUGGUGGAUUGUUAACACAUACUAAUUUUAUUAUCAGUGGAUCAGUAUGCAAAAACAUCAUGUAAAUUAAUGUAGAUAAAUAUGUCUAAGUGUGGUCUCAUUUUGAGUGUAUUUACUGGAAGAAGAAUUAUUAUGACAUGUCUCAAAUGUUAUGAUCCAUUAGUAAAAAUAGACAAAGCUUGUGACCCAAGUCAGUAACCUGCAUAUACACAUAUGUGAAUACUCAUUGUCUUUAUUUCUGGAGCUUUUUAGUUUAUACUUGUUUUCGUUUUUUCUUUUAGUAAAUUGAAAACAUUAUAUAAAUACAUAAAUCAAAACACAGGUAAGGAAAUGAGAGGAAGCUAAGCAUGGACUAUUUAUGAGGAUGUGUUUUGAAGCAGGGAUUAUAGCUUAAUCCAUUUUAGUACAAUGGCGCACAAUUUAAAAAGAGAUCAGUGUUUUCCAUUCUCUUUUCAUGGCUAUAUAUUAUUCCAUUUUAGGUUUUACUCCUGUUUAUGCAACAUUCCUUGAUGGAUAACAAUCUAUGGGUUAGAUCCAAGGCUUACAAUUUAGGCGGUUGUGUUUUCGUAAGUCAUUAUCAAGAUUUUAGAUGUGAAUGCAGUGGUGAAUUGAUGGUUGUUCAUUGUUCCAUCUUAAAAGUAUGUACAUAUUAAAUGAAGAAAAGGCCAAACACCAAUCAGUGAUAUGAAUAGAUUGAUUGAUCAGUUUUAUGAUUAAAUUCAUUUCUGCAUCCCUGCAAUUUAUUUAAAAAGGAGAUUUGGUAUGUUAAAUCUACAGGAAUUUGUCUGCAGACAUAUUUCAGUAAUAAUCCAAGAACUGAUUUAUGGGGUUUUGUUGGGUUGAUUAUUAUGCAUCAAUGGUAACAUCAAUAAACACAUAAAUAAAUGAAUAAAGAGGAAAAGGACAAAAUUGGACUAAUUGUCCAAAUAGAUUAUGAUGGAAAAAAUUUGUUAAUGUAAUUCUGAAAACUAAUAUUUAUUAAAAAAUAAACAGAGUAUCUGAAGGA